GGCCCGUUGGUCAAGUGGUUAAGACACCGCCCUUUCACGGCGGUAACACGGGUUCGAAUCCCGUACGGG
rnacentral:tRNA from 2 species